GCGUCGGUGGUAUAAUCUGUUAGCAUAUUGCCUUCCAAGCAGCUGACCCGGGUUCGACUCCCCGGCCGACGCA